rnacentral:lncRNA from 1 species
AUACAAGGAUCCUAUAAUCCUUCAUCUAUUAUAGGAAAGACAUGUGCACAAAUCUUCACAAAUUAUAAUAAUAUCUAAAAUACAAUUAACAUUAUAUUUGAUUGCCUAAUAUCCUUUAAUAAAAUAUUUGGCAUAUCGUAACACCCCCACUCAAGUUGGUGCAUAUAUAUCACACAUUCCCAACUUGAAUAGAGACUCAUUAAACAAUGUUCUUGACACUCCUUUGGAUAUCACACAUUCCCCAC